rnacentral:rRNA from 1 species
UACGUAGGGGGCUAGCGUUGCUCGGAAUGACUGGGCGUAAAGGGCGCGUAGGCGGCUCACAGAGUCGGACGUGAAAUUCCUGGGCUUAACUUGGGGGCUGCGUUCGAUACCUGUGGACUAGAGUGGGGAAGAGGGUCGUGGAAUUCCCAGUGUAGAGGUGAAAUUCGUAGAUAUUGGGAAGAACACCGGUGGCGUAGGCGGCGACCUGGUCCUUUACUGACGCUGAGGCGCGAAAGCGAGGGGAGCAAACAGG